CCUACGGGGGGCAGCAGUGGGGGAUAUUGCACAAUGGGGGGAACCCUGAUGCAGCGACGCCGCGUGGGUGAAGAAGGGCCUCGGCGUGUAAAGCCCUGUCAGCAGGGAAGAAAAUGACGGUACCUGAAGAAGAAGCCCCGGCUGACUACGUGCCAGCAGCCGCGGUAAUACGUAGGGGGCAAGCGUUAUACGGAUUUACUGGGGUUAAAGGGGGCGCAGGCGGCGAUGCAAGCAAGGAGUGAAAGCCCCGGGCCCAAACCCGGGACUGCUGUUGGAACUGCGUGGCUGGAGUGCAGGAGUGGCAGGCGGAAUUGCUGGUGUAGCGGUGAAAUGCGUAGAUAUCAGGAGGAACACCGGUGGCGAAGGCGGCCUGCUGGACUGCAACUGACGUUGAGGCCCGAAAGCGUGGGGAGCAAACAGGAUUAGAUACCCCUGUAGUC
rnacentral:rRNA from 1 species